rnacentral:rRNA from 1 species
CCUACGGGUGGCAGCAGUGAGGAAUAUUGGUCAAUGGACGGAAGACUGAACCAGCCAUGCCGCGUGCAGGAUGACGGCACAAAGAGUUGUAAACCUCUUUUGUACGAGAAUAAACCCCGAUACGCGUCUCCGGAUGAGAGUAUCGUACGAAUAAGGAUCGGCUAACUCCGUGCCAGCAGCCGCGGUAAUACGGAGGAUCCGAGCGUUAUCCGGAUUUAUUGGGUUUAAAGGGUGCGUAGGCGGUUUGAUAAGUCAGCGGUCAAAUCGUGGGGCUCAACCCCGUCCCGCCGUUGAAACUGGGAGUCUAGAGUGGGCGAGAGGUAUGCGGAAUGCGUGGUGUAGCGGUGAAAUGCAUAGAUAUCACGCAGAACUCCGAUUGCGAAGGCAGCAUACCGGUUCAAAACUGACGCUCAGGCACGAAAGCGUGGGUAUCGAACAGGAUUAGAUACCCGUGUAGUC